UACGUAGGGCGCAAGCGUUGUCCGGAAUUAUUGGGCGUAAAGAGCUCGUAGGCGGCUUGUCACGUCGGGUGUGAAAGCCCGGGGCUUAACCCCGGGUCUGCAUUCGAUACGGGCUCGCUAGAGUGCGGUAGAGGAGAGUGGAAUUCCCGGUGUAGCAGUGAAAUGCGUAGAGAUCGGGAGGAACAUCAGUUGCGAAGGCGGCUCUCUGGACCAGCACUGACACUGAGGCACGAAAGCGUGGGGAGCAAACAGG
rnacentral:rRNA from 1 species